AUUGAACGCUAGCGGGAUGCUUUACACAUGCAAGUCGAACGGCAGCGCGGACUUCGGUCUGGCGGCGAGUGGCGAACGGGUGAGUAAUGUAUCGGAACGUGCCCAGUAGCGGGGGAUAACUACGCGAAAGCGUAGCUAAUACCGCAUACGCCCUACGGGGGAAAGCAGGGGAUCGUAAGACCUUGCACUAUUGGAGCGGCCGAUAUCGGAUUAGCUAGUUGGUGAGGUAACGGCUCACCAAGGCGACGAUCCGUAGCUGGUUUGAGAGGACGACCAGCCACACUGGGACUGAGACACGGCCCAGACUCCUACGGGAGGCAGCAGUGGGGAAUUUUGGACAAAAGGGGCAACCCUGAUCCAGCCAUCCCGCGUGUGCGAUGAAGGCCUUCGGGUUGUAAAGCACUUUUGGCAGGAAAGAAACGUCGCGGGCUAAUACCCCGUGGAACUGACGGUACCUGCAGAAUAAGCACCGGCUAACUACGUG
rnacentral:rRNA from 1 species